rnacentral:rRNA from 1 species
AUUGAACGCUGGCGGCAGGCCUAACACAUGCAAGUCGAACGGUAGCACAGAGAGCUUGCUCUCGGGUGACGAGUGGCGGACGGGUGAGUAAUGUCUGGGAAACUGCCCGAUGGAGGGGGAUAACUACUGGAAACGGCAGCUAAUACCGCAUAACGUCACAAGACCAAAGUGGGGCACCUUCGGGCCUCAAACCAGCGGAUGUGACGAGAUGGGAUUAGCUAGUAGGUGGGGUAACGGCUCACCUAGGCGACGAUCCCUAGCUGGUCUGAGAGGAUGACCAGCCACACUGGAACUGAGACACGGUCCAGACUCCUACGGGAGGCAGCAGUGGGGAAUAUUGCACAAUGGGCGCAAGCCUGAUGCAGCCAUGCCGCGUGUAUGAAGAAGGCCUUCGGGUUGUAAAGUACUUUCAGCGGGGAGGAAGGCGGUGAAGUUAAUAGCUUCACCGAUUGACGUUACCCGCAGAAGAAGCACCGGCUAACUCCGUGCCAGCCGCCGCAGUAA